UGGGGAAUAUUGGACAAUGGGCGAAAGCCUGAUCCAGCCAUGCCGCGUGUGUGAAGAAGGUCUUCGGAUUGUAAAGCACUUUAAGUUGGGAGGAAGGGCAUUAACCUAAUACGUUAGUGUUUUGACGUUACCGACAGAAUAAGCACCGGCUAACUCUAUGCCAGCAGCCGCGGUAAUACAGAGGGUGCAAGCGUUAAUCGGAAUUACUGGGCGUAAAGCGCGCGUAGGUGGUUUGUUAAGUUGGAUGUGAAAGCCCCGGGCUCAACCUGGGAACUGCAUCCAAAACUGGCAAGCUAGAGUACGGUAGAGGGUGGUGGAAUUUCCUGUGUAGCGGUGAAAUGCGUAGAUAUAGGAAGGAACACCAGUGGCGAAGGCGACCACCUGGACUGAUACUGACACUGAGGUGCGAAAGCGUGGGGAGCAAACA
rnacentral:rRNA from 1 species